GCAUUAAUGGGGUAGUGGUAACCUGGGUCGUUGCCAUACUCAGGGUAUGUUAGCUUGUCGAGCAUAUCGACCCGCCGGGAGUUCGAUUCUCUCUUAAUGCA